UCUGGUGAUGAAGGCGAAGAGGUCACACCCGUUCCCAUACCGAACACGGAAGUUAAGCUCUUCAGCGCCGAUGGUAGUUGGGGGCUGUCCCCCUGUGAGAGUAGGACGUCGCCAGGC
rnacentral:rRNA from 2 species